GACGAACGCUGGCGGCGUGCUUAACACAUGCAAGUCGAACGCUGAAGCCCUGGCUUUUGUUGGGUUGGUUGAGUGGCGAACGGGUGAGUAACACGUGAGUAACCUGCCCUCUUCUUUGGGAUAACGCCCGGAAACGGGUGCUAAUACUGGAUAUUCACUGAUCUUCGCAUGGGGGUUGGUGGAAAGGUUUGUUCUGGUGGGGGAUGGGCUCGCGGCCUAUCAGCUUGUUGGUGGGGUGAUGGCCUACCAAGGCUUUGACGGGUAGCCGGCCUGAGAGGGUGACCGGUCACAUUGGGACUGAGAUACGGCCCAGACUCCUACGGGAGGCAGCAGUGGGGAAUAUUGCACAAUGGGCGAAAGCCUGAUGCAGCGACGCCGCGUGAGGGAUGGAGGCCUUCGGGUUGUAAACCUCUUUCGCUCAUGGUCAAGCCGCAACUGUGGGUUGUGGUGAGGGUAGUGGGUAAAGAAGCGCCGGCUAACUACGU
rnacentral:rRNA from 1 species